GUGGUGGUAGCUCAGUGGUUAAAAUGCUGGGCUAUUCAUCAUGAGUCAUGAGUUUAAAACCCCACCACUACU